AUGAAAAGCUUAUACUCAAGAGAUGGCCAUCCAUUUUCCAUUCCCAUCCUUUGCAUGAUCCAGACCGCCCAUCGAAGUGUAGAACUCAUUGUGAUAAUUUGGGUUUUUUGUACAGAGAACACGCGUCGAUGGUCAAUUCAUCCAUUACUGUUCACAGUGGGAGAUUGAGAGCGAGCGAGCAGGAAUCGCGGAAGGAACACGGUGUUUCUUUCCUGAUUUGAGAACCGAUUGGACAGCUUUGUUGGAUCAGUUGCCUGGUAAAGGCUUCCUUAUCUUUCUUUUAUCCGAAAGGGAGUUACUCCAAGACUUUUAAAGGGCUGGUCCUCUGAGGGGCUGGCUUUCACUGCUCAAUCACGGCUUUAAGGCAAGAGUCCUGUGUCAAAAUUAGAAGGAACAAAGAAUACAUGCAAGCUUUCCCUAAGUUCUUGAUUGCAUCCCCUUCAUUUCACGGUGGGCGUGGUGCCCUGCCUUCAGCUGGUGGGCACCCAGCAGAUCUUACCUUCCUUGCUGGUGGUGGUUACUAAGACAAGCCUUCGACUGAGCGGCAUUCCUUGUCACUGGAUUGUCCCGAGAAGUUAAUAUAUACUGCACACAGUUUGGUAGUUUGAAAUCACCAUUAAACAUCACUCUAAGAAUGGUUCAAGCGAAGCAGACCGAGGAUGAGAAUUUGUGUUCAAAAUAUAUGGAAAAUGAGCAUUUAAAAACUCAGAAGUCAUGCAUCAACGGUAUUAGAUUACCUCUUUAUCAAUUUGGUAGAAAUUCUCCUUUAGAUGACAUUUCCUUCAAAGCACCUUCAGACGUUCCUCUGGAAGAACAAACCAUAUUGGAGUCUAUACUUCUUGCCAAGUGGGAAGAGAAAUUGUCUGAAGGCCAGUUUAGAUAUGAUGUGACUCUAUCUGAAAUUAAGGCAAUCAUGGGCCAGAAAAAGUUCCUUGCUCAGCUGAAUGAGAGCUGGACCAACCCAUCUCUGUCACAAUAUGAAGAGAUGAGCGGAAGUCUAUUUCAAACUAAUUGGUUGAAGUGCCAAGAGGAAUUACUCUUUUGCAUUUCACGUGGUGAAAAUAAUGAAUCCAAGCUUAUUUCUGCUGCUCUAGUGCCCACUAGUUCCAUCCUGGUUAUUAUCAACGCAACUCCUGUAGAAUAUGGUCAUGUAAUCUUGUUGCCCUGUGCUGUCAACGGUCCUCUUCAGUUCUCGGAUGAUAUGUCUUUGGAAUUGGAAAUGCUUUUAAGGCUUUCUGUUGAAAUUAAUAACUUUGCCCUCUGCUUAUUCUAUGAAUGUUCUACUCCCGGGACUGCUUGUCUAUAUUUUCAGGCACUGUUCUUUUCCAGCCUUUUACCUGUGGAGGCCAUGACAGUUGAUACCUUCUUUAGUGAUAGCUUGGGGGGAAUUUGUGUUUCUACUAUCACAGAUUACCCUGUUAAGGCCCUCUUAUUCGAGAGCAGCUGCAACUUGAAGAAAAUGGGGCAGGUUAUUGCAGAGAUAUGUUCUCAUUUACAAGAGAAAUGCGUUCUGUAUAAUUUGCUGAUUCGUGAUUGUGGCAAGAAGAUUUUCUUAUUUCUUCAGUUGCAAGGGUCGGACAGAUCUUCCAUUCUUUCACCUUGGGAAUGUUGGGGUUACUUCUUGUUCAAAUCUAGGUCUGAAUUUGAUCAGGCAACUGAAGAUGCCCUGCUCGAUCGGAUCGCUACUGCUGCUUCCCUCGACGAUGCAGAAUUUCAGGGCGUGAAGCAAUUCUGCUGUGACGUUGCAGGUAAAGUUUCUUUCUGAUUCUCUGCUAUUUCAUAAGCAGUUGUGGAAUGCUUCUGAUUCUAUGUAAAUUUCUGUGUGUAUGGACUCAGCUAAAUUUUCCUUUUUGUCUUACGAACUUAUGAGAGAUACACAUGCAGAAUUCUCUGUACUGCAUAGUUCUAUAAGUUACUUGGAUGUAAUAUUAAUGACAUUUAUAUAUUUGUGUACUGAUGAAUAAACAUAUUAUGAUGUACAGUUUUCUA